GAUAACCUCCUAACAUAGAUCCCUGAGUUGUUUUUCAGAAACAUGGAUGCCCAGCAAAUGAAUCCACUGGCACCUAGACCUCAGGAGGGCUUGCUAAUUGAAGUUGAAGCAUCAGAUGUCCUGAAAGCACUCAAACUCAUCAGAAGUGGAAUUUGUCUCUUCACCCUUUGAAUCUGGCCUAGCACCUGAGCCCUGCUUUGAUGAAAAGAAUGCAGUAGGAGCAGCACUGUGGACCCCAUGAAGCUUCUCAGUGUCCAUUUUCGUCCCUUUGGAACACUGCCCAAGACUGCCACGUGAAGAAUCCCAGUCUAGCCUGGUGGAGGAGGAGAGGGUAGUGGGACUACAUGAGCCAACCCAUCUGAGGCCUUUUAAAUCAGCCAGCUGACAGCUAGCAUCUACCAUCUACCAGUGGAGGGCAUCUUAAACUUGCCAGCCCCAGUCAAGCCACCAUAUUAUUGUAGCCACUGAGUGAGCCCAGGCAAGACCAGCAGAAGAUUUGUCGCCCAGUUGAGUCCAGCCCAAAUUGUUGACCCACAGAAUCAUGAGCAAAAAUAACGACCAUUGUAAACCACUAAAUUUUGGGGGUGGCUUAUUAUGCAGCAGAAACUAAAUUAUACAGGAGGUUAUCCCAGGAAGCACAAGUGAGGAAAUAAGGGAAGUAAGACAGAGAAAGGAGGAGAGUUAAUAAGGGGUACUCUAAGGAGCAGGUUAUUACUGUGGGCAAUUGAAGCUAAAUCCUGCUGGAUACCCUCUGAAGAGUCCUGUAGAAGGCAUCUUAGAACAGUCUCUCCACAGAAAGAGAAACCAGAUUACUCACCCAAUAAUUCCUUACCCUACACCUCACUGGC